rnacentral:lncRNA from 1 species
AGCGUCAUCCACAGCUGUAUUAUUGAAAUCUGCAACCUUGCUCUAACACACCAAGUAAUGUCUUUUUACUUAUGCCCAUGAGCUCAUCAACCAACAUAUCAUUGAGAGAAGAACAAGAAAGCAAAUGUAGAAAACAAAAAGAAAGGAAAUGUAGAAAACAAACAUAGCUCACCUAUUAAUCUCAAUGGUUGCUGCGACCUCCCACUCCCCUGGCCAAGUGAUGCUUCUUCUUGUCCUUUAAACGAAAC